rnacentral:snoRNA from 1 species
CCUAGCUGUAGGCAACUGCCUAGUUUGCUUUGUACCUAGGCAAGUGUUACACUGCUGGGAAAAAAUCAGCCAAGAGCUGGUGGGCAUGUAGGACCUGGUUAAUGCCAACUCUGUGUUAACUAUACCUGUGUGCUAGCAUA